rnacentral:rRNA from 1 species
GCAGGCGCGUAAAUACCCAUCCUGAUACGGGGAGGUAGUGACAAUAAAUAACAAUACGGGGCCCAUCGGGUCUUGUAAUUGGAAUGAGUACAAUCUAAAUCCCUUAACGAGGAUCAAUUGGAGGGCAAGUCUGGUGCCAGCAGCCGCGGUAAUUCCAGCUCCAAUAGCGUAUAUUAAAGUUGUUGCAGUUAAAAAGCUCGUAGUUGGAUUUCUGGUAGGAGUGACCGUGCCGGAUUUGAUUAUCCGUGUAUUGAGUUGUCUCCAGCCAUCCUUGUGGAGAACUUUUCUUGCAUUAAUUUGUAGGGAUUGGGACCCGCAUCGUUUACUGUGAAAAAAUUAGAGUGUUUAAAGCAGGCAAUCGCUUGAAUACAUUAGCAUGGAAUAAUAAGAUAGGACUUUGGUACUAUUUUGUUGGUUUGCAUACCAAAUUAAUGAUCAACAGGAACAGUUUGAGGAUAUUCGUAUGAACAUGUCAGAGGUGAAAUUCUUGGAAUUUUGAUCANGACGAACUACUGCGAAAGCAUUUAUCAAGGGAUGUUUUCAUUAAAUCAAGAACGAAAGUUAGGGGAUCGAAGAUGAUUAGAUACCAUCGUAGUCUUAACCAUAAACUAUGCCGACUAGGGAUUGGCGGAACGUUGUC